rnacentral:rRNA from 1 species
GAACUCUGAGACAGGUGCUGCAUGGCUGUCGUCAGCUCGUGUUGUGAAAUGUUGGGUUAAGUCCCGCAACGAGCGCAACCCUUAUCCUUGUUUGCCAGCGAGUAAUGUCGGGAACUCCAGGGAGACUGCCGGUGAUAAACCGGAGGAAGGUGGGGACGACGUCAAGUCAUCAUGGCCCUUACGAGUAGGGCUACACACGUGCUACAAUGGCGCAUACAGAGGGCGGCCAACUUGCGAAAGUGAGCGAAUCCCAAAAAGUGCGUCGUAGUCCGGAUUGGAGUCUGCAACUCGACUCCAUGAAGUCGGAAUCGCUAGUAAUCGUGGAUCAGAAUGCCACGGUGAAUACGUUCCCGGGCCUUGUACACACCGCCCGUCACACCAUGGGAGUGGGCUGCAAAAGAAGUGGGUAGUUUAACCUUCGGGAGGACGCUCACCACUUUGUGGUUCAUGACUGGGGUGAAGUCGUAACAAGGUAGCGCUAGGGGAACCUGGCGCUGGAUCACCUCCUUAUACGAUGAU